AAGACGGUGUCGAUUUGCACCCCAGAGAGCGUACAGGGCAGCCAUGUGUUCUGCAUUUUUGGCUACAACAAGCAAAGGGGCAUCGGCGCCGGUAAGUUCAUAGCUUCCAGCCCCUUCUCGGUUGGAGGCCAUGACUGGGCUAUCCGGUUUUACCCUGAUGGGUUUAACAGAGAUUCCCGAGAUUACAUCUCAGUCUACCUCGAGCUCUUGAGCAAGGACGCCGAGCACCGGGGUGUCCUCUUCUUGGGAAAAACAGAACCCAAGGUGUUCAACCAGAAUAAUAAUAGCAGAUUUGCUCCACAAAGUGCUGAAUUCAUGGCAAGGAGGGAGUUCGAAGCAUCGGCAUACCUUCGGAAUGACCACCUGGAGGUCGAAUGCGUCGUCAAUAUCAUGAAAGAAGCGCAGGUGUUUGAAAUCAAAUCAUCCCCCAAAAUCAAGAUGCCCCCAUCCGACAUCACUGCACAGCUCAGCAAGUUGCUGGAAGCAAACGAGAUUCCAACAGAUGUCACAUUCGGUGUUGGGGGAGUGGUUUUUGCAGCACAC
rnacentral:rRNA from 1 species